rnacentral:rRNA from 1 species
AUACGGAGGGUGCAAGCGCUACUCGGAAUCACAGGGCGUAAAGCGCGCGCAGGCGGGCUGAUAAGUUGGAUGUGAAAGCCUACGGCUCAACCGUAGAACUGCAUCCAAAACUGUCAGUCUAGAGUGUGGGAGAGGAAGAUGGAAUUAGUUGUGUAGGGGUAAAAUCCGUAGAGAUAACUAGGAAUACCAAAAGCGAAGGCAAUCUUCUGGAACACUACUGACGCUGAGGCGCGAAGGCGUGGGGAGCAAACAGGAUUAGAUACCCCGGUAGUCC